rnacentral:rRNA from 1 species
GAGCGGCGAACGGGUGAGUAACACGUGGGUGAUCUGCCUCGCACUCUGGGAUAAGCCUGGGAAACUGGGUCUAAUACCGGAUAUGACCAGGGACUGCAUGGUUUCUGGUGGAAAGAUUUAUCGGUGCGAGAUGGGCCCGCGGCCUAUCAGCUUGUUGGUGGGGUAACGGCCUACCAAGGCGACGACGGGUAGCCGGCCUGAGAGGGUGAUCGGCCACACUGGGACUGAGACACGGCCCAGACUCCUACGGGAGGCAGCAGUGGGGAAUAUUGCACAAUGGGCGGAAGCCUGAUGCAGCGACGCCGCGUGAGGGAUGACGGCCUUCGGGUUGUAAACCUCUUUCGACAGGGACGAAGCGNAAGUGACGGUACCUGUAGAAGAAGCACCGGCUAACUACGUGCCAGCAGCCGCGGUAAUACGUAGGGUGCGAGCGUUGUCCGGAAUUACUGGGCGUAAAGAGCUUGUAGGCGGUCUGUCGCGUCGAUUGUGAAAACUCACGGCUCAACCGUGGGCUUGCAGUCGAUACGGGCAGACUAGAGUACUGCAGGGGAGACUGGAAUUCCU